rnacentral:sRNA from 2 species
ACUCAACAUGUUAUCAUUAAAAAGGGUGAGUCAUAGUUGUAAAAGCAAGCCGUCUUUGAACGGAUCCUUGAUCAGCUAGUUAGCCCUAAACCUGUUUAAACGGAGUUU